GGCCGGUGAUGUAAGUAAAUAUUUGCUACUCUUGAUGGGAAUUUAUCAAAUUUCCAUCUGAUGAUUCUCUAUCCACCAAGAUCUCUGAGGCC
rfam:Solanum tuberosum cultivar DM 1-3 516 R44 scf00128_30, whole genome shotgun sequence.